CUGCAGCUUAUUAAGCCGACCAGUCAGGUUUCUGUCCUUUCCUGGUGCGCAAAGGCUGCAGACAGCAACUCUUUGGUUUGUGUAUGCGCUUGGCUGGGCAGUGCCAAGCCUUGAAAGGGACCAUUGAGACAACA
ensembl:snoRNA SNORA70 Small nucleolar RNA SNORA70